CACAUAUCCAACUCUACCGGAAUUUUAUACCAGUUCUUCCCAAAGAAGAGUAGCAGAUCAGGAAAGCAACUGUAUCUCUAUCUUGAACCUACAAAAAUAGGGCAAGUCGUCACUUCUUAAUAGAUCCCCAACGAUAGUCCUUCCGAAGACCAUGCAUAACAACCUUAGCCUAUCUUCCAUAACUAUGUUCUCUUGUACGAACCCGGUAGAAGCAUCAACAACUGUCAUUAACAGCUGUCCUCGCCGUUCACCUAUGCCGCCGAACAGGUGAUCUGGAUCUUGACCUAUGCUGCCGAACAGGUGAUCUGGAUCUUGACCUAUGCUUCCGAACAGGUGAUCUUGACUUAUGCUUCCGAACAGGUGAUUUUGAUCUUGAUCUAUGCUUCCGAACAGGUGAUCUGGAUCUUGACUUAUGCUUCCGAACAGGUGAUCUGGAUCUUGACCUAUGCUUCCGAACAGGUGAUCUGGAUCUUGACCUAUGCUUCCGAACUGGUGAUUUGGAUCUUGACCUUCUUACCCUGCAUAAAAAGGAAACCCUGUAAAUAAACAAGGCACAGCUGUAGUAUAAAUGGGAACCCAUACAAAUUCACCUGAGUAGCUUAUAUUGUUAUAUGAUGAUGGUAGUUUGUCUCAAAAAUAUAAACCUUAAACAUGAUUAACUUAAUGGCAACAAACCUGG
rnacentral:lncRNA from 1 species